rnacentral:rRNA from 1 species
CUACGGGGGGCAGCAGUGAGGAAUUUUGCGCAAUGGGCGAAAGCCUGACGCAGCAACGCCGCGUGAGUGAUGAAGGCCUUCGGGUCGUAAAGCUCUGUCAAGUGGGAAGAACCUAUGUAAUGUUAAUAUCAUUAUAUACUGACGGUACCACUGAAGGAAGCACCGGCUAACUCCGUGCCAGCAGCCGCGGUAAUACGGGGGGUGCAAGCGUUAUUCGGAAUCAUUGGGCGUAAAGGGCACGUAGGCGGCCUGGUAAGUCAGAUGUGAAAGCCCGAGGCUUAACCCCGGAAGUGCAUUUGAUACUGUCAGGUGUGAGUAUGGGAGAGGGAAGUGGAAUUCCUGGUGUAGAGGUGAAAUUCGUAGAUAUCAGGAGGAACACCGGUGGCGAAGGCGACUUCCUGGACCAAUACUGACGCUGAGGUGCGAAGGCGUGGGUAGCAAACAGGAUUAGAUACCCCAGUAGUC